AUGGCUAUCCAGGUUGCAUCAUGCCACACCUCGGCAGAGCUUUGGAACACGGUGGAGGGGAUGGUUGCCUCUCACACCCGUGCUCACACCACCAAUGUCGGGAUCGCCCCUCGCCAAUCUGUAGAAGGGCAACUCGGGAAGAUCGGGUCCCUCUACGACGAGCUGAUCGCUGUAGGGAAGAAGGUGGACGAGGAGGACAUCGUCUCCCACAUCUUGGCUGAGCUCGAAGAAGACUUUGACCCCGUGGUCUCCGCCAUGUGCUCCUGGGUGGAACCGGUCACCAUGGUCGAGUUGUUC
rnacentral:rRNA from 1 species